UACGGAGGGUGCAAGCAUUGAUCGGAAUUACUGGGCGUAAAGGGCGCGUAGGCGGUUAGAUAAGUUAGAUGUGAAAUUCCGGGGCUCAACCCCGGAGCUGCAUUUGAAACUGUCUGGCUAGAGUUCAGUUAGGGUAAACGGAAUUCCACGUGUAGCGGUGAAAUGCGUAGAUAUGUGGAAGAACACCGGUGGUGAAGACGGUUUACUGGGCUGAUACUGACGCUGAGGCGCGAAAGCAUGGGGAGCAAACAGG
rnacentral:rRNA from 1 species